CAAACUGCAGGCCAGAGGGUUGGGGAGAACCCGAGCUCUCUGGCUGAAGCCUGUUUCCUUUUCCUGCAGAGGUAGAAGUGAAUUGGGCAACAAAUAUUUGAUUGAAAAGUUUGUGGAAAACAGGGUGUAUCAGCACUCUAGCGAUGGAAGUAGAUGGGUUUUUAGCAGAUGGUACUGGAGGUUAAGAGGCGAAGCUGUGAUCGAUUCAGCUUUAUACGGCCUGAUCUGUUUGAGUAUUGGGUCAUGUGCCGGCCAUUAUUAUCACUGUGGACUUCAAACUGGGGAGGCAUCAAGCAGUGAGUAAGAACAUAAUAGAGUGUGACCUAGAUCUGAAGAUUACUUCAGUUUCUAUAUUAAAGGGUCACAGUGAGAAUAAAGUCACACAUUUCUUAAUGACAAGACACAUUUUGAAAACUGUGUCCCUGUACAAUUAGGUCCUUGUGUCAACAUUAGAGAGUGUACACACCCAAAACUGAAUGUUAUGUCUACAACAAAUUAAAGCUCUGUGGUGUAUCAUUUUGCUCUAAGCCAGGAAAUCUGCAGAAUAUGUUUUUUUUUCCCCUGGGUAUCAAAAUCAAUUGUAAGCCAUGGGAAGCAUUCUUGUAUGUAAACACACUUUAAUAAGAAGAUUCAGUCAAAAUACACAAUAAGAUAUCAGAAAUAGAGCCCUGCAUCAAGCACUUAUAAUGUAUGGAGGAAUGGAAUUUUCUCAGUGUGAGUUAGGGAGUUGUUGGUGAAUGUAAAGGCUUAAGAAUUUAUUUAUAUUACUGAAACUUUGUGAACAUACAAUUAUGCUACAGUAUUUUUAUAAAAUUUCCUCUCAUACAUAAUAUCUAAGGUUGGUUAACUCAAGACCCAGCUACAUAAACAUUUUUCUUUUAAUUUUGAACUCUUGUAAUAACACUGAAAAUAUACAUGUUAGCACUGUACAAAAUAAUUUUUUCUGUCUUUAUUAUGAAAACAUGCUCACUUUGGCAGCAAAGACAAUAUUACACAAAUAUAUUGCUAUUUUCAUAUAUUAUUUUGCUUUUCACUGAAAAUUAAUUCACAAAACCCUAUCAAUCAGGUCUGCACAAGAUCAGGACUUGGUCUACACAGAUUCAGAAUCAUCAAUAUAUGUUUUCUGUCUUCCACUGCCAUAUUCUAUACCAUGUUAUAGUCUUUCAGCGGGCAAAAAUCACAACAUAACUACACUAUGGUAAUGUUGCCUUCUUCUACAGUACCUUCUACAGGACCUAUAAGUGGCUAUUUUUAAAUUAUAAUAUUUAUAUAGAGUGAACUUAUCAAUAAUGAUUAAAAUAUAGUUAAAAAUAAAUCAUCAACAUAGCUGCUUAUGAUCAAGGACUACAUAAUUGCCUGUGCUACAUUAUUAGUGCAGUAGAUAUACUCACACUAAUUGCUAUAAAUUUUGAGCAGUGUUUUGCUUUAUGAAGUUAUGAAAUCACCAGUCAAGUACAUUUUUUUGCCCAAUUAUAAUUAUACAGGAGCAUCACCAAUAGGUGGCCCAUUUUUGACCAAAAUUCUUAUGUAGUACAAAACUUUAUUUAUAACUUUAGUUAUCCUGUAUUUAUAAACUUUAUAAAGUUUUAGUAUAAAACUUUAGUUAACUUAUAUAGAAUUAUAUCAGAGUUGAUCCAUACACACAGAACUGGAGUGGAACUGUUAUUCCUGAUAAAUCAAAUUUAUUGAAUGUAAAAAUUAGAAAUUAGCAAAGAACAUUUUUCGAUGAACCUGAGUAGGUUAUAUAGGCAUAAUUUUCGGUACCGUACAUGGUCCCUGAGCUCUUCCUCUCUGUUAUUGUUCCCUGAUGUUUUCUGGAUACCAUUAACUGAACGUCUUUAUUUUGCCACACUGUUUCAUCAUGAGGUUUCUGAUUUCAAGUUAGUGGUUUGAACAUUCUGGAAAUGUGAGUCAAAUUAUACCUCACAUCCUUUAAAUUGUGGGUGCCAGGAGUUGUGUUUAGCAAUGGGACAGCUAACAGCUAGAGAAAAUCAGUAGUGAGAGUUGGGUGUCUUACUGAGUAUACAUGAACUGUGGUUAACUGUAUUUGGAACUGACUUUUGGGAGGUAUAGGGAAGGUGAGCUGGAGUAAUCUUUGAGUGUUGUAAGCAGUGCCUGAUCGGUGUUAUUGGUCAGAAUUUAGAGCAACAAAAAGCUGAUAGGAAUGUAAAUAAUAAGAGCCUAAAUUAUGAUGUUUCAACUGGAGUUAAGGAAUCUAUUGGGAAGUAGACUAAAGAGAAUGUGCUUUACAUUCUGGAAAAUAAUGUCUAUACUUUUCUUUGUAGAGGGCUGAGAUUGAGUGAUAGAUUAAUAGAAGUUAUUACAGAUCACCAUUUAAAUGGUGACUCUUGUGUGAGACCUACUGGCUGCUUUUGCUAGAUUUAUAGAAUCAGAAGUAAGAAGCAGAGCAUAAAAAUUUGAAAGACUUAAAUUUUAUUAUGAAGAAAACUAAAGUUGAGGGCAGAGGAAGUGUGGUUUUUAUAGGGAUUAGAGGUUAGGAGGAGUUCAAGAGACACCUGGUACUUUGAAGCUAGACAAGAAGAUAUAUGUCUCCAGGAUAUUUUAAAAAUCAGCAAUAUUGCGUUGACAGGAGGCAAAAGGGUGGAAGGGUGUAAAUGUUUUAUUUAAUAGAAACCCCCACUGCCCAAUCAGAAGGAGCUGCCUGUUUCCCUGGGUCUCAUUUCCCCAUGGUCACUGUUUCAGGCAUUCAGAAGCCACUGAAACUGCGGAGGAGUCCCAGCUCCUGCAGGAACUCCUGCCAAAGUUUGAAAACAUCUACUUAAUGCUUUUUGUUUGAUUGAUUUUUGUUUUGUUUUGUUUUUCAUAUGUGGGGGUGAAAAUCGUACGAGUCGUGGUACCGCGGGAGUUUUCACCCAGAUGUCUAAGGAGCUGUGAGAGCAAGCGCAGUUUCUCCGAGGCAGCUGUGCCUGUGGCUGUGGGAAAGAGGUCAAAGUCAUACCAGCACCCCAAGCUGUUGGAGAUGCCAGAGAAGUGGAAUUUUUGCUGGAUAAGCUGACAAGAAAAACCACAGAGAAGGACCAGAUGAGCUACAGCCAGCAGGGUCAUGGAAGGAGGCCAUUCAAGCCCUGUGGAACUCACAUCCCACUUCUGUGUGCACAGAAUCUAGAUCUGAGGCUUAAUGGGUUUCAAGCUUGCUUUAGACCCUUUUAUUCUCAUAAUCCUUCCUUUUGGAAAAAGAAUGUUUAACAUGUGUCUUUAUACCUUAAGAUUACGUAGCUUGUCUUUUUAUAUUAGAAUAGAGUUUACCUUAAGUUUAAGAAGAAAGUUUAAUUUUUGGAAAAGACUGGAACUCCUGAGAUAUUUGUGAAGAAAUUAGUGCAUUUCCAGUUGUGUGCAGUAUAUUGUUGUCACGUUUGGUGAAAAUAGAAACCUGCCUUUGAGUGAGGAUUAGGGAGAAGCAUCAAGGCUGUAAAGCUGAAAAGGGAUGGAUGGCAAUCAUUAAUCAUGUCAUGUCAACUUGACUGAAUUAAAAGAUACCCAAAAGAUUAAAAAUUCAUACUUCUGAAAGGGUCAUAGAAGUGUAACUUUGGGUACUAUAAUUGGUGACUGAUAUCUUUUCUGCUCCCUCUGUUCUUUUUCUCUGGUUACUACCUACCACAAAGUAAACAUCUUUGCCAUACUCUUUA